rnacentral:rRNA from 1 species
AGUGAAUAGAUACCCGGGUAGUCCACGCCGUAAACGAUGAUGGCUGGAUGUUGGCGAUACACCGUCAGCAUCUGAGGGAAACCAUUAAGCCAUCCACCUGGGGAGUACGGCCGCAAGGCUGAAACUCAAAGGAAUUGACGGGGGCCCGCACAAGCGGAGGAACAUGUGGUUUAAUUCGAUGAUACGCGAGGAACCUUACCUGGGCUAGAACGCAGUUGGAAUGAUGCCGAAAGGUGUCAGCCCUUCGGGGCCGGCUGCGAGGUGCUGCAUGGUUGUCGUCAGCUCGUGCCGUGAGGUGUCGGGUUAAGUCCCAUAACGAGCGCAACCCCUAUCGCUAGUUGCCAGCGCGUCAAGGCGGGGACUCUAGCGAAACUGCCAGCGUAAGCUGUGAGGAAGGCGGGGAUGACGUCAAAUCAGCACGGCCCUUACGUCCAGGGCUACACACGUGUUACAAUGGCCGGUACAGAGGGCAGCCACCCCGCGAGGGGCGCCAAUCUCCAAAGCCGGUCCCAGUUCGGAUCGGAGUCUGC